AUUCAAACUUAUUUUUGUAAGUGGCCACGCCCAGCACUGCAAGCUUCGACAAGCCCAAAUCGCCGGCCGAUUAGUGUCUCGCUUUCUCAACCCUCUCUCUCUCAACUCUCGAUCUGCCUCUUCUCUCUUCCUCUGGACUUUCAUCAAAGAAUUUACCAGUUCAAAUGGCAAGAAAAAGAGCUAAGAAAACUGUAAAACAAGUUGCCUUGUCACCAGGGACCGAUUUCAAUGUUGCAGAGGCAAAGGAGCCCCAGAAUGUGAAACAAGAAGCUCAAU